CAUCGAGACUCCUACGGGAGGCAGCAGUCGGGGAAUAUUGCACAAUGGGCGCAAGCCUGAUGCAGCCAUGCCGCGUGUGUGAAGUAAGGCCUUCGGGUUGUAAAGCACUUUCAGUUGUGAGGAAGGUGGUGUCGUUAAUAGCGGCAUCAUUUGACGUUAGCAACAGAAGAAGCACCGGCUAACUCCGUGCCAGCAGCCGCGGUAAUACGGAGGGUGCGAGCGUUAAUCGGAAUUACUGGGCGUAAAGCGCAUGCAGGUGGUUUGUUAAGUCAGAUGUGAAAGCCCCGGGGCUCAACCUCGGAAUUGCAUUUGAAACUGGCAGACUAGAGUACUGUAGAGGGGGUAGAAUUUCAGGUGUAGCGGUGAAAUGCGUAGAGAUCUGAAGGAAUACCGGUGGCGAAGGCGGCCCCCUGGACAGAUACUGACACUCAGAUGCGAAAGCGUGGGGAGCAAACAGGAUUAGAUACCCUGGUAG
rnacentral:rRNA from 1 species